GGUUUACAUGCAAUGGGUAGUAGUCCCUUAAUAAGCAUUAACUCCCACACCGUUGGGGUUUCUGGGGUCAAAUUGGGCCCAGCAUCUCUACAGUAGUGUUUGGUCAGAAACGACCGUAGUUGGAUAUAGGAGUAGUGUGAUGUAGGAGGCAGUGAGUAUCGGGUUUGCAGCUCUUCAAAGCUAAGCAUUUUGCCCUGAUUGUACAGAUGCGUCAGGUGGGUGACACCCCGG